GGUAUGAAUAUUAAUAGGAUAGCAGAGUCUGAUGGAGAAGACGAAGAAUCAGUCAAUAUCAAUACCUCUCAUUUAUCUGGCUCUUUCUUUGCUGGGCAAGAGCUAUUCCAAGCGCUCUGCAUACAUGAUCUGAUUUUAUCAAUACUACAGCCUCCUGAGGAGCUGCAUGAAGUAUGCAGCUAUCGUCCCUAUACCACAGGGCCCGUGCUGGUCUCAUUCUGUCGACACUGAUUUCUGAAGGUCCAGCCACCUAGAUUUCUGAGCUCAAAACUACAGGAGAUGAAAAAUUAAAACAGGACCAAAAGCCUCCUCUGGCAGGUCUUGCUCUAUGAUGUUUAGCAGUGAAUACGAAUGUUACCAGAGGACACUAGAGCUGAAAAUCACCUGGAGGACACCUGCCCUUAUGCCUUCAUUUCACAGAGAACGUGCCUGCCAGUGACCCGUGGGGCAACUCUCCUCACUUCUCUGGAGGGGGAAGAAGCCAACAGCUCUGAGCGGUCUGGAAACUCUGCUAGGUGCCAUGGCGCUGUGAGCAGUUGCCCAGCCACUACAAGAAGGAACCCCACCCUUGUCCUACAUUUAUUUUCUUUCCCAGACCUCACAAAACCACAAAAAUCAAAGAUGACUCCCAAGAAGCCAGUCAUCGGACUUUGCAAACCCAGCCCAAGGCUAUGGAUGGUAGGGUCACAGAGCUGUUUCUCUGCUCCUGUUGACUCAGGUCUGUUUACCUGGCUCCAGAGUUCUAGUUUCCUUGCCUCGGAACCUGUGCAGCCCUCAGAUUUAUGCUCUGGGCAGACAGGGGAUUUAUGGCACAUUCAUCACCCAUCCCACCCCAGGACUCAGCACCUCUCCCUGCAGCUGUCAAAACCACCCACUCGUACCCAGCAGAGCAUCAAGUAGUUCACCGAGGGGAACUACUCGGAAAUAGUGCCCAGUUCUGGCCCAAAGGCUUUGCUAGUUGCCCAAGUUCUGGUGAUAAAAAUGCCAAAUAUAAUGCAGAGUGAAAAACAGAGGUCACACUGGCCCAGAGGGCAGCAGUAGUCACAGGCUGGGAUUAGGGGUUAGAGGAGGUUUGGCGGAUGCUGUGCUCCUGGACUUGCCCUGAGGCACCCUGACCUUGAAAAUGCAGGGAGUAGAUGGAGUCCUUUUCCGGGAGCUGUGCUAGAAGCAGAGGUGUUCUGGGGAUCGGGCUAAAAUCAGAAGCUAGCUCCCCUUAGUCUCAGGAGAAUUUUUUUUUUUUCAAUAGCUUUGACUUUCAUUUGGGGAAAAUUAAGUGAGAGGAAUGUAGAGUCUGGGGCUAGAAUGUGACUGAAGCCGCCAGCUGUGUCAGUCCUUAAGCUGUAAAAUGCACAGGUCAGUAGUACCUACAAAUAUUGAAUGUAAGCCAUGUGUCAUCCACUGGAAUUUGAAUAUAUCUUUCACACAUUCAUUUCUGAACCUCACAGCAGCUCUGAGAUCACAUUUAUUACUAAGCCCGUUUUAAAGAUGCAGAAUAUGAGGUUCAAGUAGUAGCAGAACUUGGCAAGUUCACAUAGUAAGUUGCUGGUAUUGGAACCCAGAUACAGUAUUCCUUUACAAAGUAAAUUCAAGUCAUGCUGUGUCCGCUGGGCCUCUCAUUGCUAAGCCCAAGAGAAGAGUAACCAUGUCACCACUCCUGGCAUCAUGAAGUAACCCAACUUGCUUCACCUCAUGAUAGCCAUUUUCUAGCACAAAUGAUGGCUCUGGGCCUCUCUCUGGAUAAAGGAAGUAUAGAGUAAUCCUCUCUGUUACCUCCUGAAGGAGAAAGGACACAGAGCUUGGCAGUUUACCAGUUCGUUCUUUUAUUUCUUCUCUGCACUUCAAAUCAUUUUUUCUUACAUUUGUUAACAUCUCUUCCAGUGACAUACAAACUAAAGCCAAAGAAAUUGAUUGAAAUGCUAUGAUUCUGUGACUAUGUCUGCUAGGAACUUGGCCAAAAGGGAAUCAAAAUAAAUAUCAC
ensembl:lncRNA